rnacentral:rRNA from 1 species
CGCACGGGUGCGUAACACGUAUACAAUCUGCCUUUAACAGGGGGAUAGCCCGGAGAAAUCCGGAUUAAUACCCCAUAAUAGUUUGACUGGCAUCAGUUGAAUUUGAAAGCUCCGGCGGUUAAAGAUGAGUAUGCGUCUGAUUAGCUAGUUGGUGAGGUAACGGCUCACCAAGGCGACGAUCAGUAGGGGAUCUGAGAGGAUUAACCCCCACACGGAUACUGAGACACGGAUCCGACUCCUACGGGAGGCAGCAGUAAGGAAUAUUGGACAAUGCCCGCAAGGGUGAUCCAGCCAUGCCGCGUGCAGGAAGACGGCCCUAUGGGUUGUAAACUGCUUUUACACCGGAGAAAACCUCCCCUCGUGAGGGGAGCUGAUAGUAUGGUGAGAAUAAGCAUCGGCUAACUUCGUGCCAGCAGCCGCGGUAAGACGAAGGAUGCAAGCGUUAUCCGGAUUCAUUGGGUUUAAAGGGAGCGUAGGUGGCCUUAUAAGUCAGUGGUGAAAUCUCUGGGCUUAACCCAGAAAUUGCCAUUGAUACUGUAGGGCUUGAGUACAGUUGCUGUGGGCGGAAUAUGACAUGUAGUGGUGAAAUACAUAGAGAUGUCAUAGAACACCGAUUGCGAAGGCAGCUCACAAAACUGUAACUGACACUGAGGCUCGAAAGUGCGGGGAUCAAACAGGAUUAGAUACCCUGGUAGUCCGCACUGUAAACGAUGAUUACCCGCUGCUAGAGGGCAACUUUUAGUGGCUUAGCGAAAGCGAUAAGUAAUCCACCUGGGGAGUACGCCGGCAACGGUGAAACCCAAAGGAAUUGACGGGGGCCCGCACAAGCGGAGGAGCAUGUGGUUUAAUUCGAUGAUACGCGAGGAACCUUACCAGGGCUUGAAAGUUAGGGAAUAACUCUGAAAGGAGUUAGUCAGCAAUGACCCGAAACUAGGUGCUGCAUGGCUGUCGUCAGCUCGUGCCGUGAGGUGUUGGGUUAAGUCCCGCAACGAGCGCAACCCCUACCAAUAGUUGCCAGCGGUUCGGCCGGGGACUCUAUUGGAACUGCCCGCGCAAGCGGUGAGGAAGGUGGGGAUGACGUCAAGUCAGCAUGGCCUUUAUAUCCGGGGCUACACACACGCUACAAUGGACGGUACAGUGGGUUGCGAAGCCGCGAGGAAGAGCCAAUCCCCCAAAGCCGUUCGUAGUUCGGAUUGUAGGCUGCAACU